UUAGGUUCGUCGAGCCGUGGUGCACGGGAAUCCGGUGGAAAACCGGAGCGGCCCUCGCCACUGUGAUUCGGGAAGCGCUGCGUCAUUCGUCGCCGGUUCGGCGGCAGCCACUGGAACGCGAGUUCCGGGAAGGCCGACGCAUCCGCGGUAGUACCCGUCAGCCAGGAGACCGGCCACGGCACCGAACGACCC
rnacentral:ncRNA from 2 species